GGCGGCGGGAGGGACGUCAUCCCCUCGCCAUUUUCCGUCAAACUCGACUCAAUCAAGUUACCUUUUGUCAGUCGCUGUGUUUGUGUGUAGUGUUGUGAAAAAUUAUCUGUGUCGAUGAAUAUCAAUGGGAAAUCGUGCUGAUCACGACUCCAAACAAUGGGUCGAUUUUUGUGUUUGUGGCUCUGAUGCAUUUUUCGCCCAGUGAUAAUGGCCAAGUGAUUGGCAUAGUGGAGUGUUUAGUGUCGUAUGCUGGGCUCUCACGGCUACAGUGAGAUCCUUUCUCUGGAUAUAUCGUCUACAAGACGACGUCGGAUCACAGAAAAGGAAGGUGACGCACCAUGUCGGCGAAAAAUAUACCGGGAGAUAAGAUUAACCUGCGGCUGAUCCUGGUGUCGGGCAAGACGAAGGAGUUCGUGUUCAGCCCCGUGGACUCGGCGGGCGACAUCGCCAUACACGUCUACGACAAUUGGCCCGAAGCGGACUGGGCGUCUGAGUGCGUGUCGCGCGCGGAGAUCUUGCGGCUGAUCUAUCAGGGCCGGUUCCUGCACAGCUCGGUGACGCUGGGCGCGCUGGGGCUGCCGCUCGGCCGCACCACCGUCAUGCACCUCGUGCCGCGCGAACAUCUGCCCGAGCCUAACUCACAUGAAGUCCGAUGGAGCUAACAUUACCCAACACUCAACAUCCUAUCCUCUUACCCUAUCCUAUCCAAAUAAUCAAAGGCAAAAGAGUAAAGGUGGCUCGAGCAGUUGUUGUUCAGCAUCGUGCUGCAUAUUGUAAUAGCUGACCGGCGGAACGAGACAGACACACAUGAUCUGCGGCGAGUGCGAGCGAGACAGACGUCAGGGCCACACCACACGGACUUGUACAAUGUGUUCACAGUGACGUAGACGCGCGACGCGUGAUCUCUAUCACCCAUGUCGCCCUAGUAAUCGCGAACACACGCUCGCGAUGUUUUCAUAAAUUUUGUGUAUAAACUAUAUUUGUCAUCGUCAAUUCGUUUUUAAAUUAUUUGAAAAUUAAAUGCACAAAGUAUUGGGACACUUGGACACGCACAUCGCAUCGGCCAUGUUGUAAAAUAUCGCGAGCGACGCGUCCGCGCUAGUAAUCAUAUUAUUUUCGAUAAUUCCGGUAUAGCUUGGUAAGCGAUAUUGUAUAUCUCACCGCGUAACUUAUAGCUCGUUUAGAAACAUGUUGCGGUAAUAAUGUUUAAAUUAGUAGAAUAUUCGAGUUAAGGUCCGUUUAACGUAUGACGCCGCACGACUACGAUCGCCAAAGUUCCUCACGUGCGAACUGAGAACGGUUCUCUGGCUUACAUUGUUUUUAUUCGGGCUGUCGACAAGUAACAAAUCAUUCUAGUAUUAUGAAUUAGGUCGUCUGAUAUGAAUUUAUAUGAAGUUAUUAACGAAGAUAUUUUAUAAAUAAAUUAAAAUGACAAAUUAUGUAGUCAAACUGAGUGUGUAUAUUACUCUCAUUUGCAAUGUAAAUAGUAUGUUUGAUAUUCAUUAAGGAGACAUUUUUUUUACUUAAUUUUUGUGAUAACGUCAUGCAAUAUUUUUCAUUUGUUUUUAUGUCUAAAUUCGCUAUUUACUGCGCUAUUGUGGCUCGCGUCCGGCCUACGCGCCAUACAUUCUGUUAGCGACGAAACAUUAACGUACGCACUACGAACACGGCGACUGCUUGGAACUCGACGAUUGUAAAUUUUAGUAAUAAAAGCACUAGAAUAAAUUUUGGCAUUUCACAUGUCUCGCUUGAACUAUGUGCGUGCCUGUACGAGUUUAUUAGACAAAUACAAACGCAAUACGCAUUCAAACGAUAUAGAUCUGCGAACCAGCAUUACCUCUAAGAUUUGUUACUGCUGUGCUGUUCGCGCAGUUAUUGUUUAAACCUUCACCACUGUUACCAGAGCCGGAUUUUUUGUUGUAAAUAUCGAAGCUUUUUAUUAUAAUUUACAUCACAUAUUAUCCAGCGGCUACGGUUAUUUCGUUUACGUAGGUGUAUUUUAUUAUGUUUAACUUCUUAUUGGCUUCAGUUGUCAAAUUCGGCUUGGCCUCUUACUCUUUACAUUGUAAGCUUUGGAAAUAUGAAAUAUCGACAAAUUAUCAAGUUAGUAUAGCAUAUUGGAACUUAUCUGUUGACUUGCGGAUAUGUAUUUUUGUGAUAGUACAAAUAAAUUUGCUAAUUCAUUGACAAAACAAAAUUAAAGGCUCAGUGAUACGACACGUUAAGCAGUAUUAGAACCUGGCACACAUAGAGACGGAAAUCGCGUGCACACACACACACUUUGUUACAUUCGUUCCCGAAGUUGUAAUACUUCAAUUAUAUCUUUAAGUCCAUCUUUUAUUUAAUUUUUUAAUACAUGGCCUUAUAUAAAUCCUUCAAAUUUCAACGACAUUUUAAAUAAUAUUUUAAUACCAGAAUAAUGUUACUGCUAUUGUAAAUCAAAUAUUUACUUUUGAACUUUAUUAAUAUUUCUUACUUAUUUAGACGGGUAUUUGAGACGGCUCAGUAUGUCCUAUUUAUUUUUUUUAAAGAUUGUAAUUGACUGAAGAAAAUCUUGCCAAUCAACACAUAACCAUUAUUGAAACGGGGGACGAAUGCAGCAUAGUGUAUUGUUUUGUUUAUGGACAAAUAGAUUGACGCUGUAUGAAUGAAAUUAAUAAUUUUGGUUGCUCUGUUUAGUUGCCUGUAUGUAUGUAUUUUGUUAAGUUGUGUAAAAUACCUAGUUUAUAAAUAAAAUUAAUACAACUUUA